rnacentral:rRNA from 1 species
CCCUUAGAUGGUCUGGGCGGCACGCGCGCUACAAUGAUGCAUUCAAAAAGCCUUCUGACCUUAGAAGGUUGGGUAUUCUCCAAAGUGCAUCGUGAUGGGAAUAGUUUAUUGCAAUUUUUAAUCUUGAACGAGGACUUCCUAGUAAGUACAGGUCAUCAACUUGUGUUGAUUACGUCCCUGCCCUUUGUACACACCGCCCGUCGCUCCUACUGAUUGAGUGUCUCGGUGAAUUCUUUGAUCUUCUGUCGAUUCAGUUCACUGAUCCGACGGUGGAAAGUUGAAUGAACUUCGUCACUUAGAGGAAGGAGAAGUCGUAACA